AUCAACAUGAAAAGUUUGAUCCAGGGUCACUGCUGUGGAAUGACCACAGGUGGCAUGGUGACUGCGGUCCCGGAUGGACAAGUCAGGUCCCGAGGUCAGAGCCUGCUGGUCACCUACUCACCACGGAGCCUGGCACAGGCGUUGUGUCUCUCCACCUAUCACUGCCACGCUCUGUUGUCUACCCGUGCCACUGGCACAUGCGUUUAGGCGUCGCUCUUGUCAUGUCUACUUGCAAGCUGUGGUCACAGGGGUAUAGAUCCUGAGGCUAAUUUGGAAACAGAGAAGAGCAUUUGUACUGGAUUCCUGCUUCCCACAGCUAUAGUGGUUUCCUGAAUCAUGAUCUAAGGCUAUGAAUUGGAAAUGCCUCAUGGAGGAAACUGCAAAGAUAAGAGUCCCCAGAUUAAAGGUAAUGCUGUGCAUUAGGCAUCAUGACCCAUAAACUGGAAUGUUCUUAUUAGACAGAAGGUACCACUAUGUAAUCAUUUAUGGCUGACUUUCACAGGAGCCACGGGAUACUUUACUCAUGGAAACCAGUAUAUGAGAAAACCCCUUACAUACCCUAAUAUCAAUUUCUGAGAAGCCUGCUGCCAGCUUACAGUGAGUCUUAAAGAAACAAAGUAGAUGGAAGGGGCCUCACCUGGGCACCAUCACUCCUUCUGCUGCUGAGGGGGUCCGAGUACCAGAGACCCCAGAGAACACCUCCUUCCUCAAGUGGGAGGAGGAGAGAAACUUUUCUGCUUGUUUGUCUUAGUGAAAUAGGAAGCACCUUUUCUGAGAGUCAGGAAGGGAGAAGGUGCUGAUGACAGGGCAAGAACAGGGGAGGGAAGCAUGCUGAUGAGCAGUUGAGAGGAUGGAGGGAGUUGACUGGGAACUGUGGAUGGCGGUGGGUGCUGUGAAGUGCCCUGGAAACCGUGCUCAUGGCUGUGUACUUCCCUCCAUCCACGGUCGCCAGCGGAGUGCAAACAGCACCAAAGAGCUGGACUUAGCAGGAAGAAAUGGAGAAGUAGGAAGCACCGGAGCUCUGCUUCUGGACGGAGUGAUCAUCGUGAUGUGAGAUGGACUUAGCUGCGCCAGGACAGAAGUGGACGAAGCACUGGAGGGUGAGAGAAUUCACCAGAGCCAGAGCAGGGAACAGAACAGGCAGACUGGCGAAAUACACUGCUGAGGGGAGCAGCGGGCGAGACAGGAGAGGU